GUUUACGUUUUACUAGCUGAUUGGAGCUGAUUCUCUAUUCUAGAGAAACUUUUCUAUUAUUUAGAUGACUUCAUACGAGGCAUUUGUCUGAUAAAAUU
rnacentral:snoRNA from 1 species